rnacentral:sRNA from 1 species
CGGACGGGCCUUUCAGGCAUCCUCUCCCAAGACUUUCAGAAGCCGGCCCCUUCUUUGGUGGCCGGCUUCUUUUUGCCUGCC